rnacentral:rRNA from 1 species
GACGAACGCUGGCGGCGUGCUUAACACAUGCAAGUCGAACGGGAUUUAGUAGACAGAAGCCUCGGCUAAAGAUUACUAAUGAGAGUGGCGAACGGGUGAGUAACGCGUGAGCAACCUGCCUAUGACAGUGGGAUAGCCUCGGGAAACCGGGAUUAAUACCGCAUAAAAUCGUAGAAACACAUGUUUUAACGGUCAAAGAUUUAUCGGUCAUAGAUGGGCUCGCGUCUGAUUAGCUAGUUGGUGAGAUAACAGCCCGCCAAGGCGACGAUCAGUAGCCGGUCUGAGAGGAUGAACGGCCACAUUGGAACUGAGACACGGUCCAAACUCCUACGGGAGGCAGCAGUGGGGAAUAUUGCACAAUGGGGGAAACCCUGAUGCAGCGACGCCGCGUGAACGAAGAAGGUAUUCGUAUCGUAAAGUUCUGUCCUAUGGGAAGAUAAUGACAGUACCAUAGAAGAAAGCUCCGGCUAAAUACGUG